GUGCUCACCUCGGCAACACAUAUACUAAAAUUGGAACGAUACAGAGAAGAGUGGCAUGGCCUCUGCACAAGGAUGACACUAAAUUCGUGAAGUGUUCCAUAUUUAA